GCUGUGCGAAGACCAGAAAAUGGAGGAAGGAACCGAGCAGCCAUGGCCGUCGCACACCUUCGCCGUUCGCCGUCGCCGCCCGUCCGCACGCGAGCUGCUCCGCCCCUCCACCCACUCGUCGUCGCUUAGCCCGUGCCACCGUCGCCCUCUCUUCUCCAUCUCCGCUGCAGCUCGACGCACCCAGCAGUGAACCAGAGAAGCCUCGUCCGUCGCCGUCCGCCGUCCUGUCCCCGGAGCGGCCGAAGUCGCCGUCGCACGCAGAUGAAGCCAGCAACCGUGCGCCUGCUCGUCCCUGCUGUUCCGCGAGUCCAGCAGCGAUUCCAGAUCUGGGGAAACUCAGCCGGAGCUGUCCAGCUCACCUCCGGCCACCGUGAGGCCCCGCCGUUGGCCGUGCAGCACCGCCGCAGCUCCUCCGCCCGUUUCCGACCUAAGCCGGCGCCGGAUCUGCUCCCUCUCGGCCCCGAUCAGCAACCCAUAAAAUGG
rnacentral:lncRNA from 1 species